GUUGGCACACAACUGUCUUCUAGGACUCUGCAAUUAUGGAACUCCUGCGUUCUACAAUCUAGAAAAAGGAGCUGACCAAGAAGACUGUCCUGAAGGAUAUUGCCAAACUCAGUCCCCACUACCAGACGUCCUCUUUGGAGGCGUUCCAUAGUGUCAUUCUGCGGUUCGCACCCAAAAACGUGGUCUAUCCAUAUCUGGGAAUGCUGUGCAGACUACCUGGCUGCACUGCAUUAUAAUGAGAAUUCUAAUCGAGGACAAGCCACCACAUCUUCAGGGGAUCCUCUUUACAAACUGAGCUUUCCAAAAUCCAGGAAGGGAGAGUGCAGAGCCAGACCAGUGAAGACGGACGCUACAUUCCGGUAUGUUGAUGAUUUGAUGGACAUGAUCAUGGAGAAAGUCUUUGUUGACCCAUCAUCAUAUGGAGACGAGAUUCUGAAGAUAAACAUUCCGCCGGACCUGUCUUCACAAUAUGAGCAUCCAGACAAGGAGGAGGUCAUCGCCAGCUAUGUCUCAAGAUACAAUCAAGGGGCGGGAGUUUGAAGCCUACAUAUCUUCCGUGGGCGUCAGGAAACUCUUGUCACGACACACGAGGGGAUCACUACCCGUAUCUUUCUACCAAGGAAGCACCAGC